AAAUAUAUCAAAAAUGUAUAAUUCUACGUUUUAAUAUAAAAGAUAAAAAAAAUACAAAAGUAAUAAAAGUAUAUGGAGUGCCCAUACAAUUGAAAAAUGAAAUAUAAUGUUACUAAAAUCCACAUAACAUCUUUGAAUUCGUGUAAUUUUCAAAUUCAUGGUGAUCGACCUAAAAGUACGAAACACUACUACAUAUAAACAAUGGUCACACGAUACAGUAUUUGGAAACAUCAGUUUCCCCACUACUAGAUUCAUCGAGGCAAAUGCGAACUCUAGUGCUCAAUAUUUGAAAAUAAACGUUAGCCAGUCUUUCCUUGUAUGUCAUUGUGCGAAGUUGUUCGUUUGGCGUAGUUCGUAAUAAGCCACAGAUUAUUCGUUUCAAAUGGUCUUUUAAACUAGUAUGCAUUAACUGUGAGUGACUGUGUACCUGCUGAGUGGAAUGAAACUAUCCUACAGCUGGAUAAUGCAAGGGCACUUAGCAACUGUACGAUUUCGAAUUACCUACGAUCGGCAAGCAUAUCGACGUCGUGGAAAGUUUCGUCUAAGGAACAUUAAAGGGCCCGGGGAUAUUCGAUGCAGCGAAUACACGAAAACGCAUAAUGGCUCCUUUGAUACCAUCAAGAGCUCUCUACUUUUACGUCGAUCUGGCUGAGCGAAACGCCGUGGCUUCUGCUUACCUUCCUUUACGCAACUCUCCCUUCGCUCCUACUAUGUGACUUAUGAUCAAGAAAAGACGCAUAUAUACAUGUAUGUAUGUAUGUAUGUAUAUAUAUAUAUAUAUGUAUGUAUAUAUACAUGUAUAUAUAUAUAUAGGUUUUCAAGGCGGCGAAGAGAUGUGUUUUCACGACGGCCACGAAAGCAGCGCAAGAGGCGAACAGACACAGUAAAAGAGAUUUAACGGCGCGCGCGUGGACUCCUAAUAAAAUGGCACUUGUUACUCAGACGGAGGAGGUCUGUUAGUGGUUUUACACAGAAUCUGAUCGAAUAAUAUGUACAAGAGGACUUGGAGCGAUUCCUUUAUAAAAAUAAGAAGAAAACAUAGGAUAACAUUAUUUCGUAGGAUACUUUGAUUUUAAGAAAACCGCUGAAUGUUUUAAGUAAUUAGGUAAUUAAUUAAUUCAUUAAUUUUUCUCUGCUAUUCACGGCUUUACAUUCAUAUGAUGGAGGUUCGUGUUUAGAUAAGCCGAUUCAACCGGUAGAACUGCAUUUAAUCGGGCAGAAACUAAAAUUUCGUGCACUUGGCUACUUAAACGAUCUCGUCGUAAAUCUCAAGUUGUGCUUGUGUUUGUGGCAUUAGGUAAUACGUAAUUAGGUAAUACACAGAACGAAGUGUACCGUGAACGAUAUUCACGGGUUUUAUUCUUCUCUGUCCGUUUGAAUAUAGAAUUCUUCUCUUCUUUGCAGUAACGAAAAUUUCUAUGAAUACUUUCUAGCUAUGUUUCAAACGUUUCGUUCGCCAUCGGAAAACCGCACAGAGGCGGUCACGGAUUUUUAACAUAAAGGGUAAUCUCUCUCUCUCUCUCUACCGCCAUACCACGAGUUCGCUUUUUUAUUUUUCAUUAAUACGCUCGUUCGUUUCUUUCCUUUUGCGCUACACGCUGGAGUACGAAGAUACGCAUGAUAUACCGUAUGCGGGAAGAUUAUCGAUGUCGAAAUUGCUAUUCCGGCACGGUGCGGUUACCGCGCGUCCAAAAAACGGACAUUUGUAUAGGCUUUAAUUUCCACAAUUCAUCCGACCGCAAGGAAAAAGUAGAACAUCGAUUGGUGUAAUUCCGUAAUAAGAAAGCCACGUGCAUCAUUGAAAACGUAAUUACAGUUCAAUUUGCCCCGAUCGCGAACGCAUUAAAGACCAAUACGGCGAACAUAAACACGAAAAAUCCAUCGGUCGAGUCUUGGUAAACGUCGAGCACGCGAAACUUCUGCAACCUUCGUGGAACUGAACGCGUUCUAAAAAAAACGAAACUUUCUUCGAACGAAACGAGAAAACGAGCCAAGAUUUUCCAGCGAUUUUUUCCCUUCUUGUACCAGUCUUCUAAAAAGUUCACUCGUGACGUGUCGUUUCAAAAUUAAAACUGGUCGUCUCGCGUGGCUGCGAGAAACUUUCUCGAGAAAGAAUCGACACAAUUGCAACGCGCGGCUGUUUGUUUUCCUGCAGUCGUCAGCUUCGGUGAGCAUUCUCUUUGCGGUUCUUCGCAGCCUAAUUUCCAACGAAUCCGAAACUGAUGUUCAAACCGGAGGAAACUGGGUCAACCGAUCAUCAUGUUCGCGUUCAUAUUCCGGAGAAAUAGGAAACGCAAGCGCGUUUUUCUAUCGACCACCGUAUCCUUCAGUGGCCGAGAAAGAGAGAAGAUCCUCGAGCAGCUUUUCCGAUCGAGUAAUCACUCGGCGAAAUUGUUGUUCUGCCGUCGACAACCGAUCACGAUAACAGCCGGUGCUGAUUUGUAUCGUGAUAUCGAUACGCGGCCAGUUACGUUGUUGCGUUGCUUCCUGCAAUCAUUUCAAACGUCGUGUGCACGCAGAUGACGGUGUAUCGACUCGUUAAUUGACUAUCAUUGGGAGAAACUGAAUUGAAGUAUAGUAUAGCGAUAAUUAGAUAAUUAGAAACUUCAUUAUUACGGACGUUUAUUAUAGGAUAUUCAGUUAAUUUAGUUACACGGACGUUUGAAUGCUCGAAUAAUUAUUUAAAAGAAAUUAAAGAAAUAACUCAUCCUGUAUACGUUAGCAUAAUUAUAUGAACGACCUAUCGUUAUAUCAGUCUUCAUUGAAAGAUUCUUUUUUAUUCAGAUGUCUGAACGUUCUGUUAUCCGAACAAUAUAUAUUUCCUUUGUUGCUAUAAUAUGAAAACGGUAUUAUAUGCGUUAAUGCCAUUUAUAAAAUGGCAUGAAGAAGAAAACGUGUAAUAGAUACUAACAGUUAAAACGGAACGAGAGAUACUUCAAAAGCUAGAAAACGGCCACAGUGUUGCAAAAGUCGUAAAAAUGUACGUAAACCUAUUGUUGAAGGCAUUCCCUCUUCGAAGCAUUUACGGUAUUAGGAAAAGAUCAUUUAAGUGGUUUAAGCCACAAAUAGGAUACAAUUCAAAGCAACUUAAUACGUGUUUAUCCGAUUUAAUAGAAAAAUUGUUCCUUGCUAUCGUUUGUAACGAUAUUACUCCUGAUAAUAAAUAAUUAGUUUCUUUAUGUAAAAAUACCCUAAUCCGAACGAUCAUGUCCCUCUAUCGACUCCGAUAUCGGAGGUUUCACUACAUAAAGAAUAAUAAUCCGAUGGAAUAUCAAACUUAUGCUAACUACUCAUCGAUUGACAUUUACAAGAGAGAUUAGAUUAUACCAUGCCGAUGAUCAAAGGUCUUAAAAAAAUAGGUGAGAAAAUAAAAGUUUAGUAGUAUGAAAAACAGAUUGAUUAAACAGAUCGAUAUAAUUAAACGAUAUCAUCGGAUUUUACAUCGCUUGCUUCACGAUAUAAUAUCACGCUAAUGCUUAUACAAUUUGUACAAGUAUAGACUAUAAUUCACUAUCGAGCUUAACAGGAAUAAACUUGCGAUAUCGUAAACAGUGCUCAUAAACAAGCGUAAGAUCAGCAUUUCGAAAUCAAAGCUUACAGGAUUUCAAGGUCGAGCAAUUCCUCGUGUAGCAAGCUGCAAGAUCUCUCAGUUCAUUCUGUUUAUUAUUACUAUUAUCCUGAAAGUAGUAGUAAGUAGAAGUAAUACUACAUGAACCGUGAAACAAGAGGGGCGAGACGCGUCAGGGGAAGAUACGGAACAGAACGAGAGAAAAUGGAUGAGAGAGGAUGUUCAGCAGAUCGCGUGGCCGCUACCAAGGAACUAGGCCAACCGAUGACCUUCCUGCAAUAA